AAAUGUAAGACAUUUUGUUUACAUAUAUACCUACUGAAAGUCAUAUUGGUGACAUUCACUUUUGAAACACUACUUUAAAAAGUUAUGAAUCUUUAUGUACAGGGAUUUAUAUGAAUGUAGGACUCCUAGGUGAUAAAGAAAGCCUAGAAAGGGGUAAGUGAGGAGGAGUUUUCUUCCCCUAGUUUGGAUAAUAUUUUGGCAAAUUCCUUUCCUCUGAAGAGUAGGCUUUGUUAUAGACAUGACUCUGAAUAUAUUUAAUAAUGACUGUUUCCUCCAGUCCACAAAGAGAUCUUUGUUAUAUCCUCCCAUGAAAGUAUGGAUGUAUAGAGGAUUCUCCAUCCCCUAAUACUGUGUCUUCAAGGAACUUCUCCCUCUGGGAAUUUUGCUGUCUUAGGAAUAACUUUGAAGACUCUAUUGGAUCAUUUAAAAAGAGAAAAAAAAGUAACGAGUUAACUACCUUAGGGUUAAACCUAAGAUUAUUUUGAACUUUGGGAAGUGACCCCAUGAGUAUGGAUCUAAAAUAAAUGAAAUGAAAUAAGAUAAAAUAAAGCACAAAAAUAUAUCUAAAACUG